AUCAGUGGGAUGGACCGUCUGUGUGUUACUGUUAUAAAUAUCUGAUUCUAUGAUCACUUAGUUCAGUUUUAUAUCGGUUGAAUUUGAUUCUCAGUUGGAGUUGACUCUCAGUUCAGGAAAAAUGUUUGCACGAGGUAUCAUUGUCGUCCUCUGUUUUCUGGCAGGCGGUCCUGUAAAGCAUUUGGACAUUUAAGUCACAUUCAGCCAUUUUCAAGUGUGAUUAAAAGGACUGUUCCGUGGCCAUAUCUGAUGGAGCAAGAAUGCCUAGAUGUAUUAUUAAUGCUAGCGUUUGUUCAAUGAAAAAACCCGUGUGUGGAACCAAUGGAAGAACAUACCGCAAUGAAUGUAUGCUGUGUGUUGCAAAAAUUAAAUCAAAGACUAAAAUCUUAGUCUGGAAGGAAGGACCAUGUUAAAUCAAACAUCUGCAAGCGUGGCACAAGAAUUGUAUCAUAAUUAAGCUUGACAGACUUUUAGUCUUCAAGCUUCAUGUCUCAUUCAAUAUGUCUUGAAUGUGUAAUGAUAUAAUUCAUAAAUAAUACAAAAUAUUGCAUACUGAA